rnacentral:rRNA from 1 species
CGUGUAGGCGGUUUGUUAAGUCUGGCGUGAAAGCUCUCGGCUAAACCGGGAGAGGUCGUUGGAUACUGGCGAACUAGAGGAUGGUAGAGGCGUGUGGAAUUCCGGGUGUAGUGGUGAAAUGCGUAGAGAUCCGGAGGAACACCAGUGGCGAAGGCGACACGCUGGGCCAUACCUGACGCUAAAGCGCGACAGCAUGGGGGACAAACG